GAAAAUGUUCUUAUUAAUAUUCUGUUCUCUUAAGCCCAAACAAUCCGCAGCAGAAGGGAUGAAGGGAGGGUAGAGGAAUACAGACAGGACCACGCAUCUCAAAGAAUCUCCAGCUGUAGCCACAGUGGACAACUGGAUCAGAGUGAACAUCUCAUGAAGGCAUACAAAGAACUUCAAGCAACUGC